GACGAACGCUGGCGGCGUGCCUAAUACAUGCAAGUAGAACGAUGAAGGAGGAGCUUGCUCCUCUGGAUGAGUUGCGAACGCGUGAGUAACGCGUAUGUAACCUGCCCGGUUGCGGGGGAUAAAUAUUGGAAACGAUAGCUAAUACCGCAUAACAGUAGAUGUUGCAUGACAUUUACUUAAAAGGUGCAAUUUCCUCACUACCAGAUGGACCUGCGUUGUAUUAGCUAGUUGGUGGGGUAACGGCUCACCACGGCGACGAUACAUAGCCGACCUGAGGGGGUGGUCGGCCACACUGGGACUGAGACACGGCCCAGCAUCCUACGGGAGGCAGCAGUAGGGAAUCUUCGGCAAUGGAGGGAAGGCUGAACGAGGAACGCCGCGGGAGGGAAGAAGGGUUUCGGAGCGUAAAGCUCUGCUGUAAGAGAAGAACGAGAGUGAGGGUGGAAAGUUCACACUGUGACGGUAUCUUAACAGAAAGGGACGGCUAACUACGUG
rnacentral:rRNA from 1 species